UUUAGAGCAAAGGAAGAGGAGGAAGAUGAUGAUGAUGACUAUGCUGACGGCUUGGUUAAUGAAGGAAAUAUUUAAAUAAGGAUUCUGCAGAGCCAAGCUUGAAUGUGUGUGUCCGGGGGAAUCCAGAAGUAUAAAUAUUUGUCCCAAUCUAAAUGUUUUAACUUCAGCAUCAUGUAAUAAGACAUGAAGAACAAUGUUGAUUCAUUAGAGUCUUUAUUAACGUAAUAUUUUAUAUUAAACUCAAAAUGAAGUAGGCUGUUUAAGCCUAUUCCACCCCCCCCUUAGACUCAAUACACUCCCUAGCUAAACCUGACAACUUGCAAUGGUUUGUUUCCACAAGGUAUUUAGCUGUAAAUGUAAGUUGUACAAAUCAAAAAAAAGUUUCUGGAGCUGGGAAUGGAUUUGUGGUAUUUUGAUAUAUAGUAAUUUACAUUUAAUAGGAUACAUCUAGAUCUUCUACAAGUGGUUCAUAUGCAGUAGAUCCUAAACAUAUCUUAGUGCAGCUUUUUUUCUCUCCUUCGAUUGCUUGUGUAAAUUGUUUUUAUUAAAUAAUUUGAAUUUUAAAAAGCUUUAUUCUGAACUGACACCAAAUAAAACGGUAAGGCAUAGAUGUAAAAUUAAAUUUUAAGACAGCACUGUAGAAACACUGGUGCCAAAUGAGGUUACAUCUAAACGGUUUAUUAGUGCAUCAAACAUGAACUCUCACGUUCCCCUGGACUCACAAGUAACGUAGCAGCUGCAUGGACAAUGUUUGUAUAGAAUCUCUUUUCUUCUGAGUAUGUUUAUAAAACACCAGAAAAUAUAAGUGCAAUUAUUCUUACUUGUAUCAUAACCAAAGAUAUACAAACUGUUAAGCAAGGAAUAAGAGAUAAAAUUUGAAUUUCCCAAAACUUCAGCAUUUCUAAAAGAAAUCGUACACUUCUAAAAAAAAUGGCAAUGACAAAAUCCAGGAACUCAAGACAGUUCU